AGAGUUUGAUUAUGGCUCAGGAUGAACGCUGGCGGCGUGCUUAACACAUGCAAGUCGAACGGAGCCAAGAGAUGCUUGCAUCUCUGAAGCUUAGUGGCGGACGGGUGAGUAACGCGUGAGUAACCUGCCCUUUACCGGGGGAUAACACUUAGAAAUAGGUGCUAAUACCGCAUAAGCGCACAGAAUCGCAUGGUUCAGUGUGAAAAACUCCGGUGGUAAAGGAUGGACUCGCGUCUGAUUAGCCAGUUGGCAGGGUAACGGCCUACCAAAGCGACGAUCAGUAGCCGGCCUGAGAGGGUGAACGGCCACAUUGGGACUGAGACACGGCCCAAACUCCUACGGGAGGCAGCAGUGGGGGAUAUUGCACAAUGGGGGAAACCCUGAUGCAAGCGACGCCGCGUGAGUGAAGAAGUAUUUCGGUAUGUAAAGCUCUAUCAGCAGGGAAGAAAAUGACGGUACCUGACUAAGAAGCCCCGGCUAACUACGUGCCAGCAGCUGC
rnacentral:rRNA from 1 species